CCUACGGGGGGCAGCAGUGAGGAAUCUUGGUCAAUGGGCUUACGCCUGAACCAGCCAAGUCGCGUGAGGGAAGACUGCCCUAUGGGUUGUAAACCUCUUUUGUCAGGGAGCAACGCCGGCUACGUGUAGCCGGACUGAGAGUACCUGAAGAAAAAGCAUCGGCUAACUCCGUGCCAGCAGCCGCGGUAAUACGGAGGAUGCGAGCGUUAUCCGGAUUGAUUGGGUUUAAGGGGUGCGUAGGCGGAGUGCCAAGUGAGCGGUAAAGUCGCGGGGCUAAACCUCGCUCCGCCGUUGAAACUGGCGUUCUUGAGUGGGCGAGAGGAAUGCGGAAUG
rnacentral:rRNA from 1 species